rnacentral:rRNA from 1 species
AGCGAACGCUGGCGGCAGCUUAACACAUGCAAGUCGAGCGGGCCCUUCGGGGUCAGCGGCGGACGGGUGAGUAACGCGUGGGAACGUGCCUUCUGGUUCGGAAUAACCCUGGGAAACUAGGGCUAAUACCGGAUACGCCCUUUUGGGGAAAGGUUUACUGCCGGAAGAUCGGCCCGCGUCUGAUUAGCUAGUUGGUGGGGUAACGGCCUACCAAGGCGACGAUCAGUAGCUGGUCUGAGAGGAUGAUCAGCCACACUGGGACUGAGACACGGCCCAGACUCCUACGGGAGGCAGCAGUGGGGAAUAUUGGACAAUGGGCGCAAGCCUGAUCCAGCCAUGCCGCGUGAGUGAUGAAGGCCUUAGGGUUGUAAAGCUCUUUUAUCCGGGACGAUAAUGACGGUACCGGAGGAAUAAGCCCCGGCUAACUUCGUGCCAGCAGCCGCGGUAAUACGAAGGGGGCUAGCGUUGCUCGGAAUCACUGGGCGUAAAGGGCGCGUAGGCGGCGUUUUAAGUCGGGGGUGAAAGCCUGUGGCUCAACCACAGAAUGGCCUUCGAUACUGGGACGCUUGAGUAUGGUAGAGGUUGGUGGAACUGCGAGUGUAAAGGUGAAAUUCGUAGAUA